rnacentral:misc_RNA from 1 species
UUUCCGUAGGUGAACCUGCGGAAGGACCACUCAUAAUAAGUGUUUUAUGGCACUUUUUUAAAUCCAUAUCCACCUUGUGUGCAAUGUCAGGGUUGAUUUUUCUCUCGAGAGGAUCAACCCCAAACACCAACUAUAUCUCAACUCUUUGUCUGAAAAAUAUUAUGAAUAAAACAAUUCAAAAUACAACUUUCAACAACGGAUCUCUUGGCUCUC